rnacentral:rRNA from 1 species
AUACGUAGGGUGCAAGCGUUAAUCGGAAUUACUGGGCGUAAAGCGUGCGCAGGCGGUUUUGUAAGACAGUGGUGAAAUCCCCGGGCUCCACCUGGGAACUGCCAUUGUGACUGCAAGGCUGGAGGGCGGCAGAGGGGGAUGGAAUUCCGCGUGUAGCAGUGCAAUGCGUAGAUAUGCGGAGGAACACCGAUGGCGAAGGCAAUCCCCUGGGCCUGCACUGACGCUCAUGCACGAAAGCGUGGGGAGCAAACAGGAUUAGAUACCCUGGUAGUCCACGCCCUAAACGAUGUCAACUGGUUGUUGGGGAUUUAUUUUCUCAGUAACGAAGCUAACGCGUGAAGUUGACCGCCUGGGGAGUACGGCCGCAAGGUUAAAACUCAAAGGAAUUGACGGGG